UACGGAGGGUGCAAGCGUUAAUCGGAAUUACUGGGCGUAAAGCGUGCGUAGGCGGUUCGUUAAGUCUGUUGUGAAAGCCCCGGGCUCAACCUGGGAAUGGCAAUGGAUACUGGCGAGCUAGAGUGUGUCAGAGGAUGGUGGAAUUCCCGGUGUAGCGGUGAAAUGCGUAGAGAUCGGGAGGAACAUCAGUGGCGAAGGCGGCCAUCGUGGGACAACACUGACGCUGAGGCACGAAAGCGUGGG
rnacentral:rRNA from 1 species